GUUCAAUACUUAACCAAAAUACUCUGAACCAAAGCUCAAGGCACUUAGACAGAAUUUAAUAAAGAUUUCUCUGAAACACUAGAUUGAAUUCAUUAGAACAACAUAAGCAUACUCAAAUGCUUUGAGCUCAUCAAAAUCACCACAAUCUCCCCCUUUUUGAUGAUGACAAAACAUUGAGUAUUUGUAAAGUGAAUUACUCAUUCAAG
rnacentral:lncRNA from 1 species